CGGAAGUGCCUUUCUUUAACAGCAAGUGUCAUAGAGUUUAAGCGGGAAGGAAAAAUAAACUGCAACUCAGCUCAAAUGAAAAGGAGAAAAGCUGAAAGGUUAGAUAUUCAGAAGCCUCAGAAAUAAUGUAAAAAAAAUUCAGUGAAAAGUCUCACUUCCACUUCUAUCCACCAUCUACUUAGUUCCCACUCAACCAGAGGUCUUUCCUGUGUCUUUGAACUUGAGCUAGUGCCCUCUUCAGAAAUCCUCAAGGAUUCUAAAUAUCAUCAGUGAUGUCUUGAGGGAUGCCAUUAUGGAAACUUAAAGAGUCUACUUUAAACAGAACAGCCCUGCUUUUAUAGAUGUAUAUUUAAUAUAUGUGAUGUAUAUAAUAUAUAUUUUAAAUAUAAUAUAUAUGUGAUGUAUGAGGUAUAAACGCAUGCAUGUAUGAUAUGUAACGAUGUAUAUGGUGAAGACUUCAAAAGGCACAAGAGAUUUUAUAGUAAAAAUAAAUCUUCAUACUUUUGUUCUUCAGUCUCCCAUUUGCCUUCCCUAGGAACAAUUUCUGUUACCUACUUCCUGAGUUGAAGUGACAAUCUAUGUACAUAUAAACAUAUGUACUGGUGAUAUGUUUAAUUAGUUCAUCACUCAUGGACAAUUAGUUUAUUCCCAACCUUUUGCUAGUAUAAACAAUGGCACAAUGAAUAUCCUUGCCUAUAUAUCAUUUUACACAUAUGCAAGUAUCUAUAAAACGGAUUUCUAGAAUUGGAAUAGCCAGAUAAAAAGGGCAUAUGCCUACUACCUUUUGAUAAAUAGUGCCAAAUUGCCUUCCAUGGGAUUGUACCAAUUUCUGCUUGUCCUAUCACUAUAGAAGCAGGCUUGGCUUUUCACGUUCUUACCAAUGCAAUGUAUGAUCAAAUUUUGGUUCCUUAUUACUCUGAUGUGUGAAAAAUGAUAUCUCAUUGUAAUUACUGAGUAUUUCUCUUAUUAUGAGAGAGGUUUACAUCUUUCACAUGUUUAAAAGCCACUUGCGUUCCCUUUUCUGUGAACUGAAUUCUUCAUUUUCAAAUGGGCUAUCAAUAUUUUUCCUACUGUUCGGUGGAAUCCUUGAACUUUUAAAGGAAAUGUAUCUACAGUACAUAAUAGAGUUAAGAUUACUGGCUUCUGCUGCUAAAACCCAAAGUUUGAAAAUCACUUUGCAACCCAGCCUUGCUAAUUAAAUCCUGUUCCCUUAUUCCCUUGGGAAUCUCUGCCACUUAAAGCCCUGACAGUACCAUCUUCUCUGUGUGGUUGAAACUCCAAGCUAGAGUUUCUCAACCAUGGCACUGUUGACAUUUGGUUGGAGAAUUCAUUGUUGUGAGGAGUUGUCCUCUGCAUUGUAGAAUGUUUAGCAGUAUCCUUGGCCUCUGUCUGCUGAAUGUCACUAGUACAUCCUCUCCCCAAGUUGUGACAACCAAAAGUGUCUCUAGAUUGUCAAAUUUCCCCUGGAGGAAAGGGUCAAAGUCACUCCAUUUGAGAACCAUUGGUCUAGAUCUUUCUGUUGCUGGUGGAAGGUAGGCUGCAUUACCAAACUGUCUAUUUGCUUUGGUUUGGAAGUCCCAAACAGCUUUCCAAAUGAUGUUUGAUAAGGUGUGGAAUACUAAAUUCUGUAGGGAAGUACAACGCUUAUGUUAUAACCUAAUCAAAAAGACAACACAUGAAGCUGUGAAAAACUAACAUCUGCUAAACUUGUGGUUAUAUGUAGGAAAUUUAAAAAGAAGCACUGGAAGACAGGAAAGUCAGCCAAUGGCUCAGGCCUCACAGGACGGGAAGGACUUUUUGAGGUCACCAGAGCUCAGAGUCUAGUCCUCAGGUGGUUGUUUCAAAAAAUGGUUACUCUUUUGCUUUUAAAUUAUAAUUUUUUAAAAUGCUCAUUUUAAUACAUAGAAUUUUAGCAAGAAAUAUUUAUUGAGGUGUCCUCAACCCUACCACUUAUGCUCACCCCCUUCAUCAGGGAUGUUAAAAUGUUAGCAUUCUGAUAUGUAACUUUCUGUACCUUUUCUAAGCCUCUACAGCCAUGUUUGUGAAUAGAUUUGUUUUAGGUAUCUAGGGUUUUUUUUUAAAUAAUAAAAAGAUAUGUUUAUUAAAUAAUAAGAAGGAUCAUAAUAUAUACAUUUUUGUGCAACUUGUCUUUUGUCACUCCCAGUGUAUCAUAAACAUUCUUCAAGAACAACAAUGAUAGAUUUUUUUUAAUGGUUGCAUAAUAUGCCAUAAUAUGUACAUACCAUAAUUUGGUCAAUAGAUUUCCUGAUGAAGAUAUCUGGAUUGUGUCUGGACUUUUUUCCCAACAAUACUAACGCCAUAAUAAACAUUCUUGUAUUCAUAUCCUUACAUUUUUACUUCUUUAAGAUAAAUGAGAUUUUGGAUUGAAAUGUAUUUGUGUAUGGUAUUUAUAAUUUUAAAAAGUAUUUCCAGACUACUUUCCAACACUAUGAGAGAUUCUGUUUCCCCAUAUUCUGGUAAGCAAUAGACGGUAAAAAUAAAAUUUGUUUUGUUUUUGCCUAUUUGAGGAGUAAAAAAAAUGGUACUUCAUUGUUUUACUUACAUAU